rnacentral:rRNA from 1 species
GUCUAUGAUCAUACUACCCUGAACGCUGAUCUCAAAAGCUAAGUAGGGUCGGCCUGGUUAGUACUUGAAUGGGAGACAAUUUAGGAAUACUGAGUGCUGUAGGUA